CAACAUUUGACGUGACCGAAGACACAUCGUGUCCUUGUCAUGUUUUUCUAUUUCCCUUUUAACAGUCCGCCGGAUCCAGACCAUAUCCAGAUCUGAUGAAGGACCUGCGCCUGGACAUGACGACAUUGCAGUCCUGAAGUGUCAACUAGUCUCUCCCCUGUAAAGGCCUCCGUCACGUGGCUACGCAACCUGUGUCCAAAAAAGCCCAACAAAACCUCUCAUGCUCCUCACACUCAUCUCACAAACACUCCUCCACCAAGUGCAAGAUUCUUGGAUUUUCAAUAGUCUUGAAUGGUUUCUGAUCAACUCCAUAUUCCAGCAACUAUACAAGUAUAUUUAAGUUGAUUGUCAGAGAGCAAUGUGCCAAAUUAGACCAUCCAUCUCAGAGAUAUGUCCUCCGAUAUUGCGUAAAAAAAUUACCUGCAGAUAAAUUUAAACCAAAACAUGUUUGCAUGUUGUUCAAAUAAUAAAGAUGAUGUUAUACAAUACAAUAGUGGCAAAACAGUAUAAAGGAAAAUGUUGAGUAAGCAAAUCAUGUGACUUUCUUUGAGCUUGUGUUUGCGGUUUCAGGUUGGCUUUUAUUUAACAUAAAAAAAAUUAGCAACAAGCCUCUGAGGCUAUGAAUAAAGACAAAAUGAAAGCUGUUAUCCUACACAAAGCAAAAUUAUGUACAUACUAAACAGAACAAAAACAACACUGACCUGAUAUUAAUCUCAGGCAUUUGUUAUACAAAUGUAUAUUAUACUUUGUAAGUGCUA